GAAAUCUCACGGCUUAACCGUGAGCGUGCGAGCGAUACGGGCAGACUAGAGUACUGCAGGGGAGACUGGAAUUCCUGGUGUAGCGGUGGAAUGCGCAGAUAUCAGGAGGAACACCGGUGGCGAAGGCGGGUCUCUGGGCAGUAACUGACGCUGAGGAGCGAAAGCGUGGGGAGCGAACAGGAUUAGAUACCCUGGUAGUCCACGCCGUAAACGGUGGGUACUAGGUGUGGGUUUCCUUCCUUGGGAUCCGUGCCGUAGCUAACGCAUUAAGUACCCCGCCUGGGGAGUACGGCCGCAAGGCUAAAACUUAAAGGAAUUGACGGGGGCCCGCACAAGCGGCGGAGCAUGUGGAUUAAUUCGAUGCAACGCGAAGAACCUUACCUGGGUUUGACAUGCACAGGACGCGUCUAGAGAUAGGCGUUCCCUUGUGGCCUGUGUGCAGGUGGUGCAUGGCUGUCGUCAGCUCGUGUCGUGAGAUGUUGGGUUAAGUCCCGCAACGAGAGCAACCUUUGUCUCAUGUUGCCAGCGGGUAAUGCCGGGGACUCGUGAGAAACUGCCGGGGUCAACUCGGAGGAAGGUGGGGAUGACGUCAAGUCAUCAUGCCCCUUAUGUCCAGGGCUUCACACAUGCUACAAUGGCCGGUACAAAGGGCUGCGAUGCCGCAAGGUUAAGCGAAUCCUUUUAAAGCCGGUCUCAGUUCGGAUCG
rnacentral:rRNA from 1 species